rnacentral:rRNA from 1 species
GACGAACGCUGGCGGCGUGCCUAAUACAUGCAAGUUGAGCGAUGAAGCUUGGUGCUUGCACCAAUUUGAAGAGCAGCGAACGGGUGAGUAACGCGUGGGGAAUCUGCCUUUGAGCGGGGGACAACAUUUGGAAACGAAUGCUAAUACCGCAUAACAACUUUAAACAUAAGUUUUAAGUUUGAAAGAUGCAAUUGCAUCACUCAAAGAUGAUCCCGCGUUGUAUUAGCUAGUUGGUGAGGUAAGGGCUCACCAAGGCGAUGAUACAUAGCCGACCUGAGAGGGUGAUCGGCCACAUUGGGACUGAGACACGGCCCAAACUCCUACGGGAGGCAGCAGUAGGGAAUCUUCGGCAAUGGACGAAAGUCUGACCGAGCAACGCCGCGUGAGUGAAGAAGGUUUUCGGAUCGUAAAACUCUGUUGGUAGAGAAGAACGUUGGUGAGAGUGGAAAGCUCAUCAAGUGACGGUAACUACCCAGAAAGGGACGGCUAACUACGUG